rnacentral:rRNA from 1 species
GACGAACGCUGGCGGCGUGCUUAACACAUGCAAGUCGAACGGAAAGGCCCGGCGUUUGUGGGUUGCUCGAGUGGCGAACGGGGGAGUAACACGUGAGUAACCUGCCCUUGACUGUGUGAUAACAUCAGGAAACUGGGGCGAAUACCGCAGAGGAUCUCCUGCUGCGUGUGGGUGGUUAGAAAGAUUCGGCGGUUGUGGCUGGACUGGCGGCUUAUGAGCUGCUUGGUGUGGUAGUUGUUUACGAGGCUUUUGACGGGUAGCCGGCAUGAGAGGUGGACCGGCCACCUUGCGCCUGCGAUACGCACCAGACUCCAAUCGGCCGCAGCAGUGGGGAAUAUUGCAGAAUGGGGCGAAGCCUGAUGUAGCAAUCCUCCGUGCGGGAUGCCCGGUUUCGGGUUGUAAACCGCUUUCGCAUGUGCCGAAGAGUGCUUGACGGUAAUGGGUCAAGAAGCAACGGCUAACUACGUG